CUGCGGAGGGAUCAUUACACAAUAUGAAAGCGGGUUGGGACCUCACCUCGGUGAGGGCUCCAGCUUGUCUGAAUUAUUCACCCAUGUCUUUUGCGCACUUCUUGUUUCCUGGGCGGGUUCGCCCGCCACCAGGACCAAACCAUAAACCUUUUUGUAAUUGCAAUCAGCGUCAGUAAACAAUGUAAUUAUUACAACUUUCAACAACGGAUCUCUUGGUUCUGGCAUCGAUGAAGAACGCAGCGAAAUGCGAUACGUAGUGUGAAUUGCAGAAUUCAGUGAAUCAUCGAAUCUUUGAACGCACAUUGCGCCCUUUGGUAUUCCAAAGGGCAUGCCUGUUCGAGCGUCAUUUGUACCCUCAAGCUUUGCUUGGUGUUGGGCGUCUUUGUCUCUCACGAGACUCGCCUUAAAAUGAUUGGCAGCCGACCUACUGGUUUCGGAGCGCAGCACAAUUCUUGCACUUUGAAUCAGCCUUGGUUGAGCAUCCAUCAAGACCACAUUUUCUUAACUUUUGACCUCGGAUCAGGUAGGGAUACCCGCUGAACUUAAGCAUAUCAAUA
rnacentral:rRNA from 1 species